rnacentral:rRNA from 1 species
UACGGGGGGGGCAAGCGUUGUUCGGAAUUACUGGGCGUAAAGGGCUCGUAGGCGGCCAACUAAGUCGGAUGUGAAAUCCCCAGGCUUAACCUGGGAACUGCAUCCGAUACUGGUUGGCUUGAAUCCGGGAGAGGGAUGCGGAAUUCCAGGUGUAGCGGUGAAAUGCGUAGAUAUCUGGAGGAACACCGGUGGCGAAGGCGGCAUCCUGGACCGGCAUUGACGCUGAGGAGCGAAAGCGUGGGGAGCAAACAGG